GAUGAACGCUGGCGGCGUGCCUAAUACAUGCAAGUCGAGCGAACUGAUUAGAAGCUUGCUUCUAUGACGUUAGCGGCGGACGGGUGAGUAACACGUGGGCAACCUGCCUGUAAGACUGGGAUAACUUCGGGAAACCGAAGCUAAUACCGGAUAGGAUCUUCUCCUUCAUGGGAGAUGAUUGAAAGAUGGUUUCGGCUAUCACUUACAGAUGGGCCCGCGGUGCAUUAGCUAGUUGGUGAGGUAACGGCUCACCAAGGCAACGAUGCAUAGCCGACCUGGGGGGGUGAUCGGCCACGCUGGGACUGAGACACGGCCCAGACUCCUACGGGAGGCAGCAGUAGGGAAUCUUCCGCAAUGGACGAAAGUCUGACGGAGCAACGCCGCGUGAGUGAUGAAGGCUUUCGGGUCGUAAAACUCUGUUGUUAGGGAAGAACAAGUACAAGAGUAACUGCUUGUACCUUGACGGUACCUAACCAGAAAGCCACGGCUAACUACGUGCCAGCCGCCGCAGUAAGAC
rnacentral:rRNA from 1 species